AUGAACAAAAAAAUCUUCUUACGGUUGGACAUGCAUUCUUACUAGUACCAGUGGAAUUUACCAGUUGAAUCAUAUAAACACACACAAGCACAAAUCACCUGAAUUCAAGAGCCAGUGCAUGUGUGAAUUCCUCAAACUCCAUCUAUCUAAGCUUGUUGUUCUAAACACAAACUGGGAGAAAUACAAACAGCCUGAAACAUAGCUUUGUCCAGAUGGUACAUAAUCUUCAAAAUGCACAUUCAACUUGUGUUGUGCCACUAUUAUCAGCAGAUUUCACCACAAAUCUGACAUCAGAUAAGCAGGUCCUAUAUUUGUUCGAGAGAUUGUCAGAAUGUGGGACUACCGUCUCAAAGACUGACAAUGCCGACAACACGAGAUGAGUCAAAACUAAAACAGUAAUACAACUCAAACUUAGACUACAGAGUAAUUAGACAAUAACAUAACAAUAAGCAACAAGUAUCGCACAUUGCCUAGUGUGUACAGUUUGAACAUAAUAAUAAUAACUGAGUACUGCCAUAUGGGCUGGAGUAACUAAAAAACUCAAAAGAAUGAUACUUGAGAGUUGAAGCAUCAACAUAGUGGACACAAAUAAAGUAGGUAGUAGCAACUGGGAACUGAAUCUUGUAUUAAAUCUCGGGUCUGCUCCAAGGUAACCUUCCAUCAGUAGCGUUCAUCAUACGAGCGAGCGCCGCGAGUGGGCCGAUCAUAGGGAGCAGGCCUAUCUCGGUAACUCCCGCCAAGGCGAGCAGGUCCAGCACUCCCAUAUCUGUCACCAUUCGCCACACGUGGACCACCCCUGCCAUAACCACCAGUUCCUCUAGGUUCAUCACGGUAAUAACUUCCACCUGGCCGCCCUCCAUCUCUCUCAUAGCUUCUUUCCCUGGCAAAGCCACCUGAUGCAUAACGAUCACCACCACCAUAUCUGUCGCCAGAAAAACGAUCAGCAGCUGGAGGAUAGCGAUCGCGUCCACCACCAUAACGAUCAUCGGCAUAGCGGCCACCAUCAUAACGAUCAUCAACAUAGCGAUUAGCAAAACGGUCUGAUCCUCCAAAGCGGUCACCACGCCCACCAGCGCCAUUGACAUACCUGGAAGGGGGAGAGUACCUUCCAGGUCUACCUCCAACAGAAUAGGGACAUUCACGAGCCCAGUGUCCAGGGCGUCCACACUUAAAGCAAUCAUCACUUGCAGCGGGUACUAUGUCAGCUGCACCACGAUAUCCACCUCUAGCUCCAGAUGAGUAACUACUACCCCCAUAUCCAUAGCCACCAUCAUUACUGUUCACUCUAGGUUGAGCUUUGUUCACAGAAAUGGUCCGACCAUCUAGUUCUCCAUUGUGCAUUUCCCGGAUCGCAACAUCCACAGCCCGAGGUUCCGAGAAUGUAACAAACCCAAACCCACGGGAGCGGCCUGUGUCUCUUUCUGUUACAACCUAUACAUACAAUGAAAGUGAACUCAUGGGAAGAUAGUAACUGCAUAUAAUAGUGAACAGCCAAAAAAAUCCAACACUAGCAAUAGCAUGCACAUGCAAAUUGGGCCAUAGGGAAAUGACAACAGCUGAUAAGUAUGUCAAGUAUGGUACCGACUGAAAAUAUCUCACAAAACUGGAGAAACACAGUCAAUCUUUAUGCCACUGCUCAAUUAUUGUAUGUAAAGUCAGUAUCUCCUUUAUCUGCCCCAACAAUGCAGUAUGCUAGCAACAUCCAGAAGGCAUACUAUGGGCAACAGGUCAGAACU
rnacentral:lncRNA from 1 species